rnacentral:lncRNA from 1 species
GUUGGAGAGAGCUAGGUAGCUUGGAUACCAGAAUCACAUUGGGGAUAAACAGGUUCCCUUACAUGAGAUAAAUUAACAACCAUUUGAUGAAAAUUAUGGCUGAAUGCUUUCUUUGUAUGUGCAGCUACAUCAUGUUGACUAGUUUCUCUUUUUCAUAUACACAUUAUUUCAACAAUAUCAAUUCUAUGGCCGAAACUCUCAAGCUAUUUCUUGUAUCCACCUUCUAUCCUAAUGCGCAAGACUAAAGUAAAACCGACUCCUUUUUGGCACUAGUAGAAUGUAUUAGAUGCUUGUUUCAUAAUAAUGUGAUGCACUGGGACUGUCACAUGCUGUUUGCCUCCCAGAAUUUUGAAGAUUCUGCUUUAUACUUCUAAUAACUUGAACAUAUGGCUGUACAUAAUCCCCCUUCUCCCCUUUUUCUUCUCCUUUACUAAUCAGAGUUUUAACAGUAUGGACUGCUCUUUAUCCUCUCCUUGUGUCUUUAUGUUUCUAUAGAAAUCCCUCAGGACUGUGCUGUAUGUAGUGAGGUCUAUCAUGUAGGGGUAUUGUUAAAAUAUAUGGUUCCUUGACACAGUAACAUUGUAUAUACAAUCUGUAACGUAGACUGAUUGUUUCUUUCUCUAAAUCUUUUCUUCUUUUCUCAGGCCUAAUGAGAUAGUACAGUCUAACAAAUAAUACACUGAGGAAGAUGUAACAGAUCAACUGGUUAAAGGGUCGUUCCCAUUGGAGUCAUCUGAACAGGGAUCCUCACACUUUCCUGGAUUACGUGGUGAUAUUGAAGCCAUUGAACGUAUUUUCUUUGGCAGUAUAAACCAUUUCUUUAAAGGAGCUGAAGAGAUUAAAAUUGAUUUCUUUAAUACAACUGCGGUUCCUCAAAUAUUUGAUGACGAUUUUUCAUCCUCUCGCACCGAGCGUGGAAUUCCCAUUGAACGUUAACCUCCUAAAGAAGCCCCUCCCAAUAGAAAUUCUGAUGGAGAUGUUGAUCUUCUGGGUUGGCCAGAGAUGUUUGAUGCAUAGCUAUCUUGAGUUUCACUCGUGUACAUUUUAAUAAGGGCCAAUCUGAUAGGCUCCAUUUUUCACCCAAAUGCAAAAUUUUUUGUGGAAUUAGUUUUCCACCCAACAUUCUGUUAAGUAUUUGGGUUGCCUCACAUUCUUGGUCCAUGACAUUUGGGCCUAUGUUGCUGAUUCUGGAUAAUGGUCCAACUCGGGUGAAGAAAACAUGGUUCUUAUAAACACGCAUCUUCAUUUAAUUGAUGCUUUGAUCUGGUCAUACACUUGGCCAUCUCUUCUCUCUAUCCACACCGUGUACUCUUUGUGAGUUUUUGAUCUGAAAAUUCGAGUGACUCUGACAUUCUACAUUUGAUGUAUAUUGUGAGAAAGGUUUUUAGUGAUAUGGUGUGGUUUUGUAUUGUAUGUUGUGGCUAGAGAAAACGUUGAAG